GUGUCAGCCGCCGCGGUAAUACGUAGGGUGCGAGCGUUGUCCGGAAUUAUUGGGCGUAAAGGGCUCGUAGGCGGUUUGUCGCGUCGGGAGUGAAAACCAUGGGCUUAACUCAUGGCUUGCUUCCGAUACGGGCAGACUAGAGGCAUGCAGGGGAGAACGGAAUUCCUGGUGUAGCGGUGAAAUGCGCAGAUAUCAGGAGGAACACCGGUGGCGAAGGCGGUUCUCUGGGCAUGUCCUGACGCUGAGGAGCGAAAGUGUGGGGAGCGAACAGGAUUAGAUACCCCCGUAGUCC
rnacentral:rRNA from 1 species